GCCCGGCCACGAGUGGGAGUGCGUCGCGACCGCCAGGGGCCGGGAGGCGACGGCCGGUUACAAGUGCGAGACUCCUGAGAGGUGGACAUGUUUUGCCUAGGAGAACAUUUCUUCCAGGCUUCCUCUCUUGUCUGAAGUUUUCCACGUUCAUGGGGCCACAAAUGGAUUAUGGUUUAUGCUUGAGAAAGAAACUGCAGACUAUCUGGACCUUAAGAGGUGAUGAAUUUAUCAAAAUGCUAAAAUAAAGAC
rnacentral:lncRNA from 1 species